rnacentral:rRNA from 1 species
GAUGAACGCUGGCGGCGUGCCUAAUACAUGCAAGUCGUGCGAACAGGCGAGGUGCUUGCUCCUCUGACGUUAGAGGGGGGAGGGUGAGUAACACGUCGAUCACACACCUAUAUGACUGGGAUAACUUCGUGAUACCGGAGCUAAUUCCGUAUAAUAUCUUCAACCGCAUGGUUCAAUAGUUAAAGACGGUUUUGCUGUCACUUAUACAUGUCUCCUCGUCGCCUUAGCUAGUUGGUAAGGUAACGGCUUACUAGGGCGAGAAUGCGCAGCCGACCGGAGAGGGGGUGAGGCCACAGUGGAAGUGACACACGAUCCAGACACCUACGGGAGGCAGCAGUAGGGAAUCGUGGGCAAUGGGGGAAAGCCUGACGGAGCAGCGCAGCGCGGGUGAAGAAGGUCUGCGGGUCGUAAAACGGUGUUAUGAGUGAAGAACGAAUGUAUAAGUAACGAUGCACGUCGUGACGGUACCUAAGCAGAAAGCCACGGCUAACUACGUG